rnacentral:rRNA from 1 species
UGGGGAAUAUUGCACAAUGGGCGCAAGCCUGAUGCAGCCAUGCCGCGUGUGUGAAGAAGGCCUUCGGGUUGUAAAGCACUUUUAGCGGGGAGGAAGGCGAUAAGGUUAAUAACCUCAUCGAUUGACGUUACCCGCAGAAGAAGCACCGGCUAACUCCGUGCCAGCAGCCGCGGUAAUACGGAGGGUGCAAGCGUUAAUCGGAAUUACUGGGCGUAAAGCGCACGCAGGCGGUUUGUUAAGUCAGAUGUGAAAUCCCCGGGCUCAACCUGGGAACUGCAUCUGAUACUGGCAAGCUUGAGUCUCGUAGAGCGGGGUAGAAUUCCAGGUGUAGCGGUGAAAUGCGUAGAGAUCUGGAGGAAUACCGGUGGCGAAGGCGGCCCCCUGGACGAAGACUGACGCUCAGGUGCGAAAGCGUGGGGAGCAAACAGG